rnacentral:lncRNA from 1 species
UAUUUUGAAAGAUAAUAUAACAAACACUAAUGUUUGAAACUGGGAAAAUAUCAGAGCCAGCAGGAAGGAUGAUUAACACUCAUAAGAAUGGUACAGACAUUGCUGAAACAGUUUUCAGAUACCUGCAUUCUCCGUUGGUCUCAAGAUAAUUGCUGGGAGCUGCUAAAACCAACUAAGACUCGAGGGAAAUCCCCACUACUCUAUAGCAGAAAUGCCCUGGAUUAAGGAAAGAAACUAAGCAAGAAGGUUGACAUCAUAUACAAGAAUGAGAGAAGAGCUAAGACUUGGCUCUAUUUCCUACCAGCUGGGAAAUUGCUGAAUUUUUUUUAUUUUUAUGCUUGCACCUGCAAAAAAUAAAUUUUAAAAACCAAACCAACAAACAUAAAACUAUUUUAUUGAAAAGCCCAGUUGCUUACUUGAUUAAUACAACACUUAGUAAAUCAAGGUGAAAGUAAUUAGGCAUUAUUUAGUCAGAUACAAGUUGUUGUUCCUUUUGGUUUUUAAAAACCCUGCACCAUAUAAGAUGUGUUGCUAAGGCUGCUAAACACAGGAAGUUGCAUUUUACUGUUGUUUCCAAAUAUGCCUAAUGUCAC